rnacentral:rRNA from 1 species
GCUUACGGCCAUACCACCCUGUCUGCGCCCGAUCUCGUCAGAUCUCGGAAGGUAAGCAGGGUCGGGCCUGGUUAGUA